GCGGCAGGCCUAACACAUGCAAGUCGAGCGAGAAAGUGGUUUCGGCCAUUAGUAAAGCGGCAAACGGGUGAGUAACGCGUGGGAAUUUUCCUUCUAGUCUGAGAUAGCCCCGGGAAACUGGGAUUAAUACCGGAUAUUAUCUACGGAUGAAAGAUUUAUCGCUAGAAGAUAAACCCGCGUGAGAUUAGCUAGUUGGUGAGGUAAUGGCUCACCAAGGCAACGAUCUCUAGUUGGUCUGAGAGGAUGAUCAACCACACUGGACCUGAUACACGGUCCAGACUCCUACGGGAGGCAGCAGUGAGGAAUAUUGGACAAUGGACGAAAGUCUGAUCCAGCCAUGCCGCGUGAGUGAUGAAGGCCUUCGGGUUGUAAAACUCUUUAAGUGGGGAAAAUAAUGAUUGCACCCACAGAAUAAGCCACGGCAAACUUCGUGCCAGCCGCCGCGGUAA
rnacentral:rRNA from 1 species